GAAUGCAAGUGUGAAUGAAGAGAAUGAAGAACUUUUUACCACACUGAACAGACACUGUGAUUUGCAUACAAGUUAAAAUGGGAGUCAGCACUCACAAGAUUAUGCAACCAAUGAUUACUCCUGGACAUAACUAAACACACAACUUAAUGCACACAACUUUAUUAUUUAUUGAGAAUGCUGUCAUCACAUAAUUAAUUAUCAAACACAGAGAAGCUCCCUAAUGACACAGAGCCAGGAUCACCACCAGCUGAUAGAAUGGUAUGCAAAGACUGACUGAGAAUUAUAGUUUGGGAACAGAAUGCAAGUUUAAAGAAACACCACUGCAUUUUAUGUGCAGAGAUUUCUGUCCUGUGUGCACAUGUGUGCCUGGGGACUUGACUGCUGCAGCUGGAGUGGGAACAGGGGCCUCAGGGACCAGCAUGUCUAAGGUGGCAGCAACUGGAGAGACCACAGAACGUGUGCAUUGUGCGCAGGCAAAAGAAGGAAAGCCAUUUUUCUUCUUCCAAAUAGGCAUCCUGUUCCCCACAUGUUCCUGGAAGCAUUAUUGUGUUGAAUCUACUGCAGUAUGAAUGAAUCUUUUGUAAACAUGGGUGGCCAGUACUGUAUAUAUCACCAAAGCUUUUUAUAUAAAUGUAUUUUUUCACUUGUCUCUUCUGAAAAUGCCUUUCCUGGAUGCAGUCUUUGAUGUCUUUUGUCUUUUUCUUUUUCACAUUCUGAUCUACCAGCAUAUUGAGAUUUGUUCUUUGUUAUUUGUAAUGAUCUUGUGCUUGUCCUUAUUUGAACAGCAUCCAAUAUUUUCUUAGACCAUACCUCCACUUUUUAAAAAAUAUUUUGGAUUAUUUACUAUUCUUGCUACCUUAUUAGUGUCCUGCAACAUGCCUGUCACCCUUCUUAAUUUCUUGUUAUCUGAAACGUAGAUAUUGAAAAAUAUUAAUGAAAAGCAAAGCGUCAAACCAGACCACCGUGGAAACCUGCCAUUCUCAUUGAUAAUCAGUGCCUGAAUAUAGCUUUGCACCCAUUCUUUCUGAAAUCUAGACCCUGCUUCCUAAGUUUGUUUAUGAAAUGACGUGUGAAACAACGUCAAAAGCCUUACUAACCCCGAGAUAUUUGACAUCCACUUUUCUUCCGGUAUUCGCAAUGCCUGUUAUCCUCUCAUAAAAGCAAGUCAUAUUGGUCUGACGCUACCUGACUUUGGCAGAACCAUGUAGGCGCUUACUCACCGCCUUGUCCUUUUGUAAGGGCUUACCAAACUGUUUGAUUAUUUAUGCCAUUACUUUUUCUAGGAAUUGAGGUUCAGCUAUGGGUUUAUAAAUACCCAGAUCCUUCUUUUUUUUUUUGCUUUUAACAGAUGGGCACUGCUUUUUUGCCUCUUGUGUUACUGUUGAAAACUGCAAAGUCAUUAAAUACAGUUUCUAUUUCACCAUUACUGACAUUAAGGAAAUAAACCAGCACCCAGAACAGACGCAUUUAUAAACCUGAUGCACAACUACCUCCCUGAUAACAGCAGGUGGUG